CUCAAAUAUUUUAUAAAAUUUAUGUUACUUGUAUAUAUUUUUUCUAGUCUUAUGUUUCUUAUUUUAAUACGUACCAUUAUUAUCUAAUACGUAUAAUCCCUAACCAAUCACAAACGCAUACGCACACUACCACUAACCCUUUUCCCAAGUGAUCCACGUUCUUUCAUUCCUUACCAUUCAUUUACACUCAACAAUUCACCACACAUUUUCAAUAGUAUAACGCAUAGAGGGAGAAAAGGGGGAGACGAGAGACUGAGAAACAGGGGAAGAGGGAGUAAGAGAGCACGAGAUGCAGAUGGAAGAGGGGAAGGAAGGAGCAGUGCCGGUGGGUGUCACUGCCACCGUCGCUGCUGUUGCUAUCGAGUAGAAGAGGGAGGGAGGCUGUCGCACUUCUAGCCGCCGCUGCUGAAGCUCCCCUCACCACUGUCAACGUCGGUUAGGGCAGAGGAAAAGAGGAAGAAUAACGGAGAAGAGAGACUGACGGGGAGGGUAAUACCGUUGCUGUUGAUUUGGAGCUGCUACAAAAACGGCGGUUCCUGCUUCUAAUCCCUGUCCUUUUGAUUUUUGGAGCUGCAGUGGAUGGAGCUUGUCAUCGGAGAAAGCAAGCUGCCGCCACCAACUCUCAAUUAAGCUAGGAUCCUUCUCCUUGUUCUAAUUCCAAUUUCCCCAUUUUUGAAACCCCCCUUUUUGGCUCCUAUUUACUGCUACAAUUAGGUCGAGUAUUGAAGCUGGUGCUGCCAUGGGACGGUUGAAGCCAUUACUGAUUCUGAUUUUGUUAUCUGGUUCUUGCUUUGUCUUGAAUCCCUAGAGCUGAAAUUGCUUGUGAUUCUUAUCCAAUUUGAAUCCUCUAUUUUACUGCAACCAUGGUCAGUGCUGCGAAGGCUAAUAUUGUUGCUGUUCCGGUUGCGUGAGAGUUACCGCUGCUGCCCUGAAACUAAAAGAAAAGAGAGCUGUUACGUUAAAGUAUGCGAUUGCGACAUCGAGUGACACAGGUUUGAAGAUGCAAUAUGAAGCUGCAAGCGAUUAGUAGGCCUUCUUUACGGUUUUAAUUGCUUUCAUAGAGUCCCCUCGCUGUCGUCCCUUGAGAUUUUAUUUUACAUAGAGGGGUAGGUUUAGUAUAUUGUAUUUGAGUUUUAUUUGGUUUCUUUUGUAUUAAGAGUUAUUAUUAAUAAUAUUUAUGUGAUUAUUAUUUGUUGGAAAUCUUUGAAACAUGACUUUACUGAAUAAAAACAAAAAUUUUCUGGC